rnacentral:rRNA from 1 species
UAGGGAAUCUUCGGCAAUGGACGGAAGUCUGACCGAGCAACGCCGCGUGAGUGAAGAAGGUUUUCGGAUCGUAAAGCUCUGUUGUUAGAGAAGAACGUUGGUAGGAGUGGAAAAUCUACCAAGUGACGGUAACUAACCAGAAAGGGACGGCUAACUACGUGCAAGCAGCCGAGGUAAUACGUAGGGCCCGAGCGUUGUCCGGAUUUAUUGGGCGUAAAGCGAGCGCAGGCGGUUCUUUAAGUCUGAAGUUAAAGGCAGGGGCUUAACCAUUGUACGCUUUGGAAACUGGAGGAGUUGAGUGCAGAAGGGGAGAGUGGAAAUCCAUAUGUAGCGGGGAAAUGCGUAGAUAAAUGGAGGAACACCGGUGGCGAAAGCGGCUCUCUGGUCUGUAACUGACGCUGAGGCUCGAAAGCGUGGGGAGCAAACAGG